UGCCCCUGAGACAGGACCCAGAGUUUCGAGCAGACAAGAGAACUGAUGAGGAGAGGCUGCAGUGUGCAGAGACAAGUGAAUCAUGCUACGGGCUACAGCAAAUGGGUCAGCACAGCCAAUUCAGGAGGCCAGGAAGAACCCCAGUCAGCAGUUACCAGUCCAGGGAGCUGGUCUGUCCAGGCAUACUAUGAGGACAGAGUCUCCCGCUGUCCCCACGGGGACACCGUACUGGGGAAGAAAAAGGAAGCGCACACCCCAAAGGCUAGUUAUCCCAAGGGAUGGAUUUAUCCUGAAGAGACUUUCUACCACUCCAGAUGAAACCCAACCAAACUUGGAACAAACCACUUAAACGGAGAGGAGGCUGAGUAAACCAGAGGAGGCUGUGUAUUGUUUAUUGGCAGGUUGGAAUUUUCCUGUAUACUGACGGAUGAGACUUAUGAGGAACCAUGAGCAGCUCUGAAGAAAAAAAGAAGCUACACAUCUCAGUUUUGAUGAGGAAACUGAGGCUUGGAGAGACUUGGUUGAGAUCACAAGUCUAUCAAGAGUAGAGAUCCCACCAUUCAGAGCUGGAGGCAACCAUAACACCUGUGCUUCUCUCCUACCACAAUGUUGUCUGCCUGAAUGCCCAGCCCUGACGUAUGGGCGAAGCUUCAUUCUCUACAGCAGCAGAAGAGGAGGAUAACAUGGGACACUGAAAUACCAAGUGCAUAGUGGUGAGAAGAACCCUGUCACGGAGAGUGGUUAAGCAGCAUCUUGUUCAAAGUAAAUGCGCAGCUGAGCUGAAAUGCUCUUCCUGAGGGACUAAAUCCUAGUCCUCUGUCUGCUGACAGGUGUACAAGAGCAGGCAAGGCCUGGGCCCAGCCUCGGAGCUGGAAGUUGGGGGCCCACCUUCAAAAUGAGACAGCAAGUGUGUGGCCUCCAGAAGAGUCAAAGUCUAGAAGAGACCUAGACACACAGCACUCGAGAGGAGGCUUUAGGGGGUCCUUUUGUGUAGCCUCAAAGAGGAGUCAUGAGUCUGACGGUAUCUGAGUGGCCCAUUGGUAGACGAGGAGGACUAACAUCUCAGCAGGCCUGGAAAACCACCUUGUCAGCCUGCCCAUCAGGAGGACAGCAGGGGUGAGGCUUCGGGGUUGGUGACACUUCCCCAGCAUCAGUGUGGAGAGCGGGGUGGGGACAGUGUGGUCAGGCAGAGGCGACACUUUAAGGCUAUUAUCAUCCCCAGCUCCAGAAAAGAAACUCCUGGAAAACUCCCCCUGUGCACUAACACCCCGGCAGAGGCCUUGCAGAAGUGCCCUGUCUGGCUGAAUAGGGUGGCAUUUUAGAACUGGAGGAAUUAUACAGACCAAUCAACUCCUUUUACAAGGAGGUCAGUCAGAGGCUGGUGAGGCAAAGGCACUUAUUCAAGAUUGAUUAAUGAAUUAGAGGCAGAGCCAGAAUCAGAAUACAAAUUUCCUGCUGUGGGGAAAACUCCUGAAAAAGGCAGUGAUUACUUACAAAGAAAUGGACAUAACUCAAGAAACGUGAGAGUGUUCAAAGUAUGGGCGAGGGCUACAGUAGGUAAUAAAUCUCAAAAAUGAAACUCAUUUGCCCUAAAAUAAAAAACAUCAGAUGCACAAGCAAGGCAGGUUUAAUAAAGAUCUCAGCAUUUGUUACCCCACCUUCACUGCCAGACCCCCCACUUUCCCCACCGCUGACUGGAUUUUAAGAGUUCUUCCCCAUGUCAGGCACUUAAUGGACUUCUAGAGAUAAGCAGCCAGCAAGGCAGAGGAAGCC